rnacentral:rRNA from 1 species
ACUCAAAUGAAUUGACGGGGACCCGCACAAGCGGUGGAUGAUGGGGUUUAAUCGGACGCUACGCCAAGAACCUUACCAAGGCUUGACAUCCUAGGAAUCCCCUGGAAACAGGGGAGUGCCUUCGGGAGCCUAGUGACAGGUGCUGCAUGGCCGUCGUCAGCUCGUGUCGUGAGAUGUUGGGUUAAGUCCCGCAACGAGCGCAACCCUUGCUGUGUGUUAUAUAUGUCACACGGAACUGCCCGGGCCAACCGGGAGGAAGGUGGGGAUGACGUCAGGUCUGCAUGGCCCUUACGCCUUGGGCUACACCCGUCAUACAAUGGCCGGUACAACGCGUUGCCAACCCGCGAGGGGGAGCUAAUCGCAACAAAACCGGUCCCAGUUCGGAUUGCAGGCUGAAACUCGCCUGCAUGAAGUCGGAAUCGCUAGUAACCGUGGGUCAGCACACCGCGGUGAAUACGUUCCCGGGUCUUGUACACACCGCCCGU